UAAAUGUGUUUUAUGAAUUUAUUUCAAUCUUAAUCAUCAAUUUCUUCGUCUGUUGAAACCAUUAAGAUUUUUUCUCAGUACCGUUUUAUUUGUAUAAAGGGAAGUAACACCACUACUUACCGUGUAUGAAAUAAGCCCCGCCUCUCUUCUAACCUAAUAUGGAAUAUAAAGGGACGUAACACCACUACUAACCAUGUAUGAAAUAAGCCCCACCUCCCUUCUAACCUAAUAUGAAAUAUACACAGUCUCCACGCGGACUCUUUUAACCAAUCAUA
rnacentral:lncRNA from 1 species